AUGGCUCGCGGUGGGGUUUCCCCAGUUUUUUCCCCGGGAAGGGUGUUUUCCGGGCAACAACGCGUCCUCCUGGUUGCCUGUGGCUUUGCUGAGGAUUCUUGGAGGUCUCUGGAGAGAAAGCAGCUUCCCACUGCAUCCCGCCGAGCCGUGGGAAGAGGAGGUCCCGCUUAUCACCUGGCCAAGGGCUGCAGGAGGGCGGGAGGUCACGGCUCUGCCGUCUGUCCAGGGGAGUUGUGCGUGGCAAACCCCGCUCCACGCACGUGGGAAAGGCAGUGGGAAGAUCCCGAGCCGCAGGAGGGUUUGUCAGGGAGCCGGGAGCAGCCUUGGGAAGGGGUUAAUCUGUGGGGGUGGCGGGACUGUGGGGACAGGAGUGAGCAGCGGAAGCACAACAGGGGGGACGUUUGCAGCCAGAGCCCUGGGGAGGAUGCCCAGAGGGCCAGGAGCCCCUGGGGAGGAUGCCCAGAGGGCCGGGAGCCCCUGGGAGCCGGUGCCCUUUGGCAGAGCCGGAGACAGGGACAGGAGAGCCCGGGAUGCCCCACGCGUGCGGAGUUGGGUGUCAGGGUGCGUCUCCAUCUCCAUUCCCCCUUCCCGCUGCCACCAGGCUCCAAAGUGACAACAACCCCCCCCCGACAUCCCCUUGGCAGAGCAAUUCCCAAAUAUUUUCCUUUCCAGCAGCUCUCCUUUUCACAGGGACUGGUGCUGUUGGCCCGGGAUAUGUUUUCCUCGGUGACCUGGCUUUGGAGAGGGGAUGCGGGGAGACCUCACUCCCUGCACACGGCUCCUUCCAUCCCGGGGCUCCGGCAUGCCUCAGCUUUGGCAUCCUCCACGCCGAGCCCUGCAGGAGGCUUUUUCCUCCGUUUGCUGUCACGGAAGAGGAGCAGAAGGAAAGCGCUCCCCUGGAGUGAUCCAACCAUCCCUCCCACUCCCAACCUGCCCCUGGAUGGACAUUUCCUGCCCCUGGAAUUUUUUUGCUGCCCGGGAUGUUUAUUAGAGGCUCCACGGUGCUUAUUUCAUCACCUGGAGCAGGCGAAGAGCUUGGAGCCUGAAUGUCGAUGA
rnacentral:lncRNA from 13 species